UGGCUCAGAAGAGCAGGUAGU
rnacentral:miRNA from 1 species